rnacentral:rRNA from 1 species
UGGGGAAUAUUGGGCAAUGGGCGAAAGCCUGACCCAGCAACGCCGCGUGAAUGAUGAAGGCCUUCGGGUUGUAAAAUUCUUUGGACAGGGACGAAGAAAGUGACGGUACCUACAGAAGAAGCAACGGCUAAAUACGUGCCAGCAGCCGCGGUAAUACGUAUGUUGCGAGCGUUAUCCGGAAUUAUUGGGCUUAAAGGGCAUCUAGGCGGUAAGACAAGUUGAAGGUGAAAACCUGUGGCUCAACCAUAGGCUUGCCUACAAAACUGUUGAACUAGAGUACUGGAAAGGUGGGUGGAACUACACGAGUAGAGGUGAAAUUCGUAGAUAUGUGUAGGAAUGCCGAUGAUGAAGAUAACUCACUGGACAGAAACUGACGCUGAAGUGCGAAAGCUAGGGGAGCAAACAGG